UGACUUUUAGUAAGUACAGCACCAUAUGAUAUAAGACAUUUAUGUGUGUGUUAUUAAUGACCAAAGGUGUCUGACUUUAUAGUAAGUACAGCACCAUAUGAUAUAAGACAUUUAUGUGUAUGUUAUUAAUGACCAAAGGUGUCUGACUUUAUAGUAAGUACAGCACCAUAUGAUAUAAGACAUUUAUGUGUGUGUUAUUAAUGACCAAAGGUGUCUGACUUUAUAGUAAGUACAGCACCAUAUGAUAUAAGACAUUUAUGUGUAUGUUAUUAAUGACCAAAGGUGUCUGACUUUAUAGUAAGUACAGCACCAUAUGAUAUAAGACAUUUAUGUGUAUGUUAUUAAUGACCAAAGGUGUCUGACUUUAUAGUAAGUACAGCACCAUAUGAUAUAAGACAUUUAUGUGUAUGUUAUUAAUGACCAAAGGUGUCUGACUUUAUAGUAAGUACAGCACCAUAUGAUAUAAGACAUUUAUGUAUGUUAUUAAUGACCAAAGGUGUCUGACUUUAUAGUAAUACAGCACCAUAUGAUAUAAGACAUUUAUGUGUAUGUUAUUAAUGACCAAAGGUGUCUGACUUUAUAGUAAGUACAGCACCAUAUGAUAUAAGACAUUUAUGUGUAUGUUAUUAAUGACCAAAGGUGUCUGACUUUAUAGUAAGUACAGCACCAUAUGAUAUAAGACAUUUAUGUGUAUGUUAUUAAUGACCAAAGGUGUCUGACUUUAUAGUAAGUACAGCACCAUAUGAUAUAAGACAUUUAUGUGUAUGUUAUUAAUGACCAAAGGUGUCUGACUUUAUAGUAAGUACAGCACCAUAUGAUACAAGACAUUUAUGUGUAUGUUAUUAAUGACCAAAGGUGUCUGACUUUAUAGUAAGUACAGCACCAUAUGAUAUAAGACAUUUAUGUGUAUGUUAUUAAUGACCAAAGGUGUCUGACUUUAUAGUAAGUACAGCACCAUAUGAUAUAAGACAUUUAUGUGUAUGUUAUUAAUGACCAAAGGUGUCUGACUUUAUAGUAAGUACAGCACCAUAUGAUAUAAGACAUUUAUGUGUAUGUUAUUAAUGACCAAAGGUGUCUGACUUUAUAGUAAGUACAGCACCAUAUGAUAUAAGACAUUUAUGUGUAUGUUAUUAAUGACCAAAGGUGUCUGACUUUAUAGUAAGUACAGCACCAUAUGAUAUAAGACAUUUAUGUGUAUGUUAUUAAUGACCAAAGGUGUCUGACUUUAUAGUAAGUACAGCACCAUAUGAUACAAGACAUUUAUGUGUAUGUUAUUAAUGACCAAAGGUGUCUGACUUUAUAGUAAGUACAGCACCAUAUGAUAUAAGACAUUUAUGUGUAUGUUAUUAAUGACCAAAGGUGUCUGACUUUAUAGUAAGUACAGCACCAUAUGAUAUAAGACAUUUAUGUGUAUGUUAUUAAUGACCAAAGGUGUCUGACUUUAUAGUAAGUACAGCACCAUAUGAUAUAAGACAUUUAUGUAUGUGUUCUUAAUGACCAAAGGUGUCUGACCUUUCAGUAAGCACAGCGUCAUAUGAUAUAAGACAUUUAUGUAUGUGUUAUUAAUGACCAAAGGUAUCUGACUUUAUAGUAAGUACAGCAUCAUGUGAUAUAAGGCAUUUAUGUACAGUACCAGUCAAAAGUGUGGACACAGCUACUAUAACACAUAUGGAAUCAUGUAGUAACCAAAAAAGUGUUCUCUCUUUCUCUGUCUUUCAUACACACACAAUUACUCCAUUGUCCAACUAUUAGUGCAUAACAAUACAGCAAUAGUCAUAGCUAUCUUCCAUUCAUAAGGAAGUUUUGCACAGUACACAUUUACAACCUUUUAACUCGAUUUGCUCAGCAGGCUAACACGGUCAAGAGACACAUACUAUCCGGGUUGAUAUUCAGCAUAGUAGUGGUGCCAGUGGUAACUACUCACCCUCAACAUGGAUGACCCCCACAAGGUCUACCGCUGGUUUUUCCCUUUCUUCCUGUUCUCCUAUCUUCCCCUGCUCUGGCGGAUGGACACCACCUCCAGGGCGAGAGAUGAACCACUGAACCUACCAGAACAAUGAUACACUCACCUACAACCUGCCAGCUGUGUGUGUGUGUGUGUACUGUACAUCACAGAGCUGUGCUUAACUUGCUUGAAGGUAACUUUGCGAAAUUGACGUUAUAUCCUUUAAAUGAUACACAAUUACAAUAGGCACAAGUUAUUGUCCCCCAUGUAAACCAACCAGUGACGCCAAGAGCUUUUAUUUUUACCUAGAAAAUACAUUCCACUGUAUGUAUAGGCCGUCAUUGUAAAUAAUAAUUUGUUCUUAACUGACUUGCCUAGUUAAAUACAGGUUAAAUAAAAAUCUAAAAUACAAAUUAAUAAAGUAAAAUAAACUUGCAGUAAUUAAAAUUUACCAGUAGAGGGAGGCAGACUCUCUUGCAAGAUUAGAUCCCUGACUGUCAUUGUCCACUUCCUCCUUUCAUAUUGGUCUAUAAUGGUAUUAUUCCAGAACCUGUUCAGCACUUUGAACAUGUCUUGUCAGGGUUUCCUUACAAUGGAAUGGGCGGCAGGUAGCCUAGCAGUUAAGCAAGUUGGGCCAUUAACCAAAAGGUUUCUGGUUUGAAUCCCCAAACUGACUAGGUGAUUUUAUUUUUGUCAAUGUGCCCUUGAGCUAGGCACUUAAUCCUAAUUGCUUCUAUAAGUCUCGCUGGAUAAGCGUGUGAUGUAAAUAAGUGUAUGCAUCCCUAUUCUUCUCCUCUGUCGUCCUAUUCAAACUGAUCCCGGUAAUCCUUCUGUACGAUACGCUCGUUUGCAUAAUCUGAAUCAGGCAAGGGCUACAGCUGCUUCUCAUUGGCCGUUUAACAGCGAGGAGCACUCGCUAAGAAGCAUAACCACUACUCUGACAUCACAACACUGAGCUGGUACAGUGCCUUCAGAAUGAAUUCGCACCCCUUUUCCACAUUUUGUCGUGUUACAGCCUGAAUU